CCCGGCCCCGGCCCGGCCCGCGCGGCCGCGGCGCGUUCCUGAGCCGUGGCUGCCCCCCAGUGGCGGCGGCGCGGCGCUCCCCUCCCGCGGCCCCGUUCCGCACCUGCCCGCUCCCCGCUGCCGCUCUGCGCCUCGGCGCGGCACCGCGCUCGGGGGCGGCUUCUGCCCCGGCUUUCAUCCGCCUGCGUGGGACGCGGCCCCUCCGCGCGGCUGUGCGGCACCUACCGCCGGGGCCGUCGCAGCGUGUGGGGCCCCGUGCGGGUUGCUGCCCAUGAGGUCACAAACGCCUCUCGGGGACUUCGUUUGCAGAGGAGCCAUAGCCGAACCUAAAAUACUGCAGAUGAGAAUCUAAAGCAGUAACAACCCUGACACCUCCAUUCCCAGCUCCUCCUUUGGGAGUGGCCUUCUCCCUCCGUCUUGACUUAGGGCACGACACAACAUUUGCACUGGGACAGGUCCCUUCUCCUGCCUUCUCCUCAGCUGCAGCUGUGCCCUGGGACGUGCCCAGUCGGGACUCCCAGCACUGUGCCAGCAUCACUGUGGAGCCGGGAGAGCUGCUUUGGCCCAGCUGCUCCCCAGCCUUCUUCACCUGACUGUCACUGCUGCAGGGCACACACGGCAUGUGACUAAACCUCUUAAGAGAAACCUCUGGUGAAGCAUGAACAAUCCGCAUGAUACAGCAUCAAAUGUGAGGGGUGUGGCUUCUGAAAAUGAGUUAAGAUGCGUUAGUGAUGUUGAGGUUUUGGCUUCAUAAAGGAUAGAGAUUAUCUGAAAGCUCUUCCAUUUCUCAACUCGGCUCCCCAGUGGCAUCUGUGCGAAUAUGAUGUGUGGUCAUUCUUGAAAAUACAACUUCAUGCUGUUUUCUCAAGAUGCAUUUGUCUUCUGGUAGUUUGUCUUUAACAUCCAUCAACUGUCUCUGCUCUGCAGUCCGUCUCCUGUUCCACGAAGGAUGGAUUCUCACUCAAGAAGGAGUUACCAGUGGAGGAUCUUUGGAGAACAUCCUUGGAUUGUCCACAGGCCCUUGUCUGCUCUGGUGCUGCAUCACUCCCUUUGCAGCCAUCCUGAAAGAACACUCCAAACUGCAGAAACUAAUAAUAAGCAGCACAUGUUGAAUUGUUUUUAUGUCUAUCCCUGGCACAGCUACAGCCUGGACAUCACAGUACUUUUUCUUCCCACUGUUCUCCAAAAGGAGGAAGAUCAACAACCCCUCAUGUUUUACAGAAGGGGAAAAGCAGUUUCAGUGAAAGGCUGUUUUUUAAGAGGUAUACAGAAGCCCAAAGACCUAUAUAGGUCACACUAAGAUUUUCGAGGAUGCAUAAUCAGGUUAGAGACACAAAUUCCUAAAACUUCAGAGAGACGUAAGCAGUCGGCUCAUGCAGACAUUUUUGAAAAUCCCAAUACCAAAUCUAUGCAACAGUUUCCUGAUGAAUUCUUGCCAUGCCUUGUUUGUCGUUUGUACUGAAAACCAUAAAUUCUAGAAGGAAUAAAAUCACCUCGUUUGGCA
rnacentral:lncRNA from 1 species